CAGUCGCCGCGGUAAUACGUAGGUGGCAAGCGUUGUCCGGAAUUAUUGGGCGUAAAGGGCUCGCAGGCGGUUUCUUAAGUCUGAUGUGAAAGCCCCCGGCUCAACCGGGGAGGGUCAUUGGAAACUGGGAAACUUGAGUGCAGAAGAGGAGAGUGGAAUUCCACGUGUAGCGGUGAAAUGCGUAGAGAUGUGGAGGAACACCAGUGGCGAAGGCGACUCUCUGGUCUGUAACUGACGCUGAGGGGCGAAAGCGUGGGGAGCGAACAGGAUUAGAGACCCCCGUAGUCCCUGUCUCUUAUAA
rnacentral:rRNA from 1 species